rnacentral:lncRNA from 1 species
UGAAAUCUGAAGUUUCUCCAUAUUACCAGUUUCUAGGUUUCUGAGUCUUGCAGAAUACUAAAAAUGUUCAUCUUGCAACAAAGAGAUAAGAUCCAAGUGGUGAGGUCUUCAUUAAUUAGAGAAGUAUCUGGAAUGUUUGGGGAGGAGUUAUGCAGGGAGGCAGCAGCAGGCAGGAGAUGGCAAACCCACAAGGGUCCAUUGGCGUUUCUGGAGUAAAAUGGUUUGCUAGGUUAUUUCUGGGGCUUUGUGAUAGUAAAGUCUGAAAAACUGUGUUUAUAAAUACGAUUGGAAAAGUACAGAGGUUGAAUUAUUGCCACAUGUUAGGAAUGUGGAAGGUUGCUUGGAUAAAUGAGAAAAGAAAGAAAAGAAUGCAAGUAAUGUCCUGCUGGGGUAGUGCAGUAUUUUGUUUCCAGGUAGCUUCAAAGUAUUAAAUAUAUUUACAUUGACCCAUGUAGCUAGCAAUUAAUAAAACAAAUCAAUAAAUGAGAACAUAAGAUCACCCCCAGUUCUGCCACUCAAAACUAACUGAUGUUUCUGAGGUUUCUAAGGGGUGAUUUACAAGUGAACAUGGUUCCCCUUGGUGAUGAUGUCCUCAAAAGCAAAGGCCAUCUUCCAGAUAUGUGAAUUCUUUACCCAUUAUGAAUCUUGUUUUGUUAAAGUAACUUUUUCUUUCAGGAUAAUUUUAGAUUUACAGCAAAGUUGCAAAGAUAAUAGGAAGACAAAGCCCCAAAGACAAAUUCCCAACACUUCCUAGCAGGCCAGUUCUCUGACUAAGGUAACUGAACUUUAAGGUAUUUCCCAAUACCGUCUUACUCACCAAUAUGACCUAAAUUACCUUAUAUUACAUUUAUCAAAAUUAAGAAACCAGCAUUGGUAUAUAUAUGUUACUGUAAACUAAAACUGUAGACUUUAUUCAGAUUUCACUAUUCUUUAUGGAUCUUUUAUGUAUGAUUUUAAGUCCUUUUUUGAAUUCUGAUAUUGUCUCUAGUACCUCUUUAUUUAAAUAAUGUUGUUUUCCUCCCUCUGAAAACAAAAAAGACGUAUUUUUUUUCAUUGUAGAAUUAGGAAAGUACUGAAAA